rnacentral:rRNA from 1 species
GACGGAGGGUGCUAGCGUUGUUCGGAAUCACUGGGCGUAAAGGGCGCGUAGGCGGCUUUGGCAGUCGGCUUUGUGAAAGCCCGGGGCUCAACCCCGGAGGUGCGGCCGAAACACCAAGGCUGGAGGCCGGAAGAGGAGGGUGGAAUACCCAGUGUAGAGGUGAAAUUCGUAGAUAUUGGGUGGAACACCGGUGGCGAAAGCGGCUCUCUGGUCCGGACCUGACGCUGAGGCGCGAAAGCGUGGGGAGCAAACAGG